rnacentral:rRNA from 1 species
GUGAGGAAUUUUGCGCAAUGGGGGAAACCCUGACGCAGCAACGCCGCGUGAGUGAAGAAGGCCUUCGGGUUGUAAAGCUCUGUCAAGUGGGAAAAAAGCCUGCCGGUGAACAGUCGGCCGGCCUGAUGGUACCACUAGAGGAAGCACCGGCUAACUCCGUGCCAGCAGCCGCGGUAAUACGGAGGGUGCCAGCGUUGUUCGGAAUCACUGGGCGUAAAGGGCGUGCAGGCGGCAUGGCAAGUCAGAUGUGAAAGCCCUGGGCUUAACCCAGGAAGUGCAUUUGAAACUGCUUUGCUUGAGUAUGGGAGAGGAGAGUGGAAUUCCCAGUGUAGAGGUGAAAUUCGUAGAUAUUGGGAGGAACACCCGUGGCGAAGGCGACUCUCUGGACCAAUACUGACGCUAAGACGCGAAAGCGUGGGGAGCAAACAGGAUUAGAAACCCUAGUAGUCC